GUGCUUCCUCUGCCUCCUGCCUCCUCGGGACCUGCUCACUGCUAACAGUUAUCAACCGCCACCGCCACGGAGGAGCGAGGAGUGGCGCUGGGUGGUGCUCGGUUUGACAGUAACUUCAGUUCCAGGGGCUCUACCACCCACUUCUCAACUCGGAGCACGAACAUGAAUAUUGAUG
ensembl:lincRNA